UUUCCGUAGGUGAACCUGCGGAAGGAUCAUUAACACGAACAAAAUGUUCCAAAACCUUUUUGAAUUAACCCCAAGCUUUGAAAAGGCGAACCUAGUUGUAUUUUUCUCCUUCUUCUAUUUUGUUUUUCUCAAACGCAACUUCUCAUGGGAAUUGACUAGGAUCGUGUGAUUUGUUCCAAUCCUAUCACCUCUUUCUCCUCUCCUCUCCUCUCCUCGUGCGAUGAGAUGGGCUAUGUGAUGGGAGAUGGGGGGUGGGUUUGGGACUAACCAUUCCUAACGCUAAAACAACUCUCAACAACGGAUAUCUUGGCUCUC
rnacentral:misc_RNA from 1 species